rnacentral:rRNA from 1 species
AACGAACGCUGGCGGCAGGCCUAACACAUGCAAGUCGAACGCCCCGCAAGGGGAGUGGCGCACGGGUGAGUAACGCGUGGGAAUAUGCCCUUCGGUUCGGAAUAACACAGGGAAACUUGUGCUAAUACCGGAUACGAUCUAUGGAUGAAAGAUUUAUCGCCGAGGGAGUAGCCCGCGUAGGAUUAGCUAGUUGGUGAGGUAAUGGCUCACCAAGGCGACGAUCCUUAGCUGGUCUGAGAGGAUGAUCAGCCACACUGGGACUGAGACACGGCCCAGACUCCUACGGGAGGCAGCAGUGGGGAAUAUUGGACAAUGGGCGAAAGCCUGAUCUAGCCAUGCCGCGUGAGUGAUGAAGGCCUUAGUGUUGUAAAGCUCUUUCGCCAGGGAAGAUAAUGACGGUACCUGGAAAAGAAGCCUCGGCUAACUCCGUGCCAGCAGCCGCAGUAA